UUCCCACUGGCUCAGUUGUUAAAGAAUCCACCUGCAGUGUGGGAGAUCCAGGUUCGAUCCCUGGGUUGGGAA
rnacentral:tRNA from 1 species